CCUACGUGUGGCAGCAGUGAGGAAUAUUGGUCAAUGGACGCAAGUCUGAACCAGCCAUGCCGCGUGCAGGAAGACGGCUCUAGGAGUUGUAAACUGCUUUUGUACGAGGGUAAACGCAGAUACGCGUAUCUGUCUGAAAGUAUCGUACGAAUAAGGAACGGCUAACUCCAUGCCGGCAGCCGCGGUAAUACGGAGGAUUCAAGCGUUAUCCGGAUUUAUUGGGUUGAAAGGGUGCGUAGGCGGUCGGAUAAGUUAGAGGUGAAAUCUCGAGGCUCAACUUCGGAAUUGCCUCUGAUACUGUUCGGCUAGAGAGUAGUUGCGGUAGGCGGAAUGUAUGGUGUAGCGGUGAAAUGCUUAGAGAUCAUACAGAACACCGAUGGCGAAGGCAGCUUACUAAGCUACUUCUGACGUUGAGGCACGAAAGCGUGGGGAGCAAACAGGAUUAGAUAUCCUAGUAGUC
rnacentral:rRNA from 1 species